CCCUUAGAUGUUCUGGGCCGCACGCGUGCUACACUGAACGGUUCAAUGGGUAAGGUAGUGCGAAAGCAUGACCUAAUCUCGAAAUCCGUUCGUGCUGGGGAUAGAAGCUUGCAAUUAUCCUUCUUGAACGAGGAAUACCUUGUAAGCGUGAGUCAUCAUCUCACGCUGAAUACGUCCCUGCCCUUUGUACACACCGCCCGUCGCUCCUACCGAUUGAGUGCUCCGGUGAGGCUUUGGGAGAAUGGCCUCAACAUGAGUUUAUCGUGUUUUGCCGUUUGAACUUAGUCAAACCUUAUCACUUAGAGGAAGGAGAAGUCGUAACA
rnacentral:rRNA from 1 species